UUGGGUACAUCCAGAGUGUCAUCCGCAAAUAAUAGAGGACUGCAAAAAUAAAAAUCCGCGAACUUGAGGGGCUCCCUGUACAGUAUACUGUACAGUGCAUUGACAAUCCCUCCUUCAUGGAGGGAGAAAAGAGUGACAGUUAGCAGUUCCUGCCACAGUAGAUGGUACAGGACAAAGGCAAGUCAUCCUGUAUCAUUAUAUCACCAUUUGGUCCGCCUGCAUCAGAAACUCAAGAUGAUAGCAUCUGCUGGUGAGUACAGUAUACAGUAGUAUAUUUUAUUUACAUUAUACUGUGUGUGUACAGUAGUGUUUGCAUAAAUAAAUACAGCUUUGUGUCUAUCCGACUGCAGUUAGGUCUCCUUAACAAUGGUGCUCAGUGCCAGAAGCAUAGUUUGCACAAUUGAAACACAGAAACAUUCACCAAUGCUGGGAAAAAUACCAUAGAUAUGUGAUUUUUUCAGAAAAUAAGAGAAUUCAUCUCAAUUCCCAGAAAUCUCUCAAACCCCAUUAUUGCUCUGCACCAAUUGUUCUGGCUAACAGGGGUAUAUAUAUAUAUAUAUAUAUAUAUAUAUAUAUAUAUAUAUAUAUAUAUAUAUAUAUAUAUAUAUAUAUAUAUAUAUAUAUAUAUAUAUAUAUAUAUAUAUAUAUAUAUUAGUAAUUUUUCAAUACACCACAUCCAUUUUCCAAAAUAUUUCCAUUUUCUUAAAAUGAUUGUAUGCGAUGCAUUCUUGUCCUUCAUCAUUGGUAUUACUAGACUCAUCAGUGGUCAGCAGUCUGUUACUAGAAGUAGGGCUGCUGAAAGGGCGGGAAUGUCAGGAUAAAUCCCUUGGGCCCGGAAAAAGUGGGAUUAUGGUACAAACCCGUUCAAAGGCCAAAAGGGGGCAUAUGAAUUUAUCAUUCCCAGGGUCCUGGCCAGUUCUCUCAGCAGCCCUGACUAGAAGUCAUAAUGAGGGCAAGAAAUCAAUAGCCAGGUGCGAAUGCUGGCCAGCUACACCAGCUACUAUAGUCUGUUCACUUGAAGCUUGCAACUGAGGCCUAAGGUCAGUUUGUAGCAAGGUACAUAGUUGAUUGCUAAUGAUCUGAAGGAUCAUUACUGUCCUCUAGUAUUGAAACUUAUAUUUAUAAUGUAUUUUUAUAUUUUCAGGGAUAAAAACCUGACUAUGUUGAUCUCCGAUAAUUUUCACAGUUAGAGAAGUGAAAAUUAGCAUGUGAAACACUGAUAAUAAAAAUGUGAUAAAGGAAACAUAAUGAACAAAUUCUGUGACAUUCUUCCUCGCCACUUAUCAUCAUGCAGUGGGGUGGAGGUUAUUGAAAUUUUGCACUUUUUUGUUUUCACCUCCAAGAAAUUCAUAUUAUUGGAGCAUUUCACUUGUUAAACUUUGCUACCCCAAGUUAGGAAAUUAUCAGAGAUCAAUAUGAAGAAGAUUAUACCUUAAAGUAUCAAAAUAUAAAUGUGACAGAUUAAGUAUUGAAGAACAUUUGUAAGUCUUCAUGUGUCCGUCCACCAACCAAUCGGCUGCUUUAGUACAAACUGACCCUAGUCCUCAGUUGCAGGCUUUGAGUGAACAGACUGCAAAUUUCAGAUGUUUUGCCAGAUACAGUAUUAGAAUUUAUGGGAAUAUAUUGAAAUUAUGCAAGUUUAUAGAGGAUUCCAGAAUUAAGGUUGUUGUAUUAUAAAAGUUCCAUUAAACAUGUACUAGUAAAGUUAUCCCUCGUUUAACGACGUGGUUGCAUUCCUGAAAAAAUUAACAUUAUAUGAAAUUCUCUCUAAACAAGCACAGAGGGCGAACAACAGGUUCAAACUGCAGGGUGAUAAGCACUGAGUAGAAUACUCCCUAAUAAUGAUAAUAAAUGAGUUUCUUAUAAACAGUUUUGAAAUUAAAUGGUUGAUUUAUUAACACCAAACUUGUAUACUGUAUAAACAUUACGGUUCUGAGUUAACAAUUAAUGAGCAAAAGGUGAGCCUAAUUUAAACCAAUUUCAUAUUACUUAUGUCAAAAAUGAGCAAAAAUUGUUAAGGUUAACAAUAAAGUUGGUUCAUAGUAUACUGUAGCAUAAAAAAUACAAUAUCACAUAUUUUAUGUACACAAAAAGCUUCUUCCACACUCAAACCAUUUUCUGGGAGAUGUGACACAGUUCAGCCAGGCAGUCACCCAACUGACUCAGACGUGCGUGUAUGUGUAUCUACUGCACUGUGCUUAUUCCGUGACAUCACAUCAGGGGAGGGAGAGCUGGGCUGGCUAGUUGGUGUCGUAGUUCACACGUACACAUCCAUGUUCUUCAUUUUUCGGAUUUUAUAGUUUUAUAUUAUAUAUUCUUUAUUCCUAAGCCGGAUUAGAGUACAGUACGGGUAUUGUAAUGAUUUUUCCACAACUUAUAUAAUUUUGUUGCACAUAACAAUGGCCACAUGCCAUCUCAUCCUAGUUUUUACCUGUUCCCAGGGAGUCAAGCUAUCACUAAACCGAAUUUUGAUCUAUUGUUAAGUGAAAAAGGGUGUAAAAACAAAUUUUAUCGCUAAGCCGAAUUAAUGUUAAGUGAAUCAACGCUAAACGAGGGAUAACUUUACCUUUCACAUUAAAUCCAGCAAACACAUGAAGCUUAUUACAAUAUACUGUAACUAGAUAAUAGAUAAAAGUCAUAUAUUUUUUCAUAUCACAACUGCUUUGUCUUAUAAAUGAUGAGUGAGAACUACAGUACGUACAGGUACUGUACUAAGAAUGAUGUGUGGCAGCUUUAUAAUAAUCAUCCUGUUCUUAUGUGUGUCCACCUCUCUCUUCAACAGGUGGACAUAUUUUGUUGAAUUAUAGUAGUAUAUGUUUUAAUAGAUAAUGUUAUUCCUUCAGAAGGUUUUGCUUUAUUUUUACAUGUUUUAGGAGGGUUUUGCCCUCUUUUACAGGGCCUUUCAUGACAUGGUUAUGUUUUGCUUGUCAUAAUGUAAAAUUUUUACUGAUGGGUCUUUUUAUAAAGGUUUUAAAAUACUCAGAUUUAUAAUCUCAUAACCUGGAGUCUUAGUACAUUUAUACAUAGAGGAUUUGGAAUUUAAGUACAAUUUCUAUGACAUUCAUAUCAGCUGAACAUUCUGAUUUGCACUUAUAAGAUUUUUAAAUAAUUCUGUGAUUUUGUUGAAAAGGUUUUGUUAAAUUCAUAGUACAGUAUUGCAAUUUGUCAUAGUAUCAAUAUGUCCUAUUUCAAGAAAUUCAUUGCUUAAGGCUAAAUUUAGGAAAAAAUACAUAUGCAGUUAAUUGGCUUCAUAUGACACUACCCAGAGACUGCUCAGAACCUAUACGUAGCAGUCCAAUUAUGAACACUCAAGAUACAAUCAAUCUAUGAGGUAAAAUAAUUCAAGUACUCAAGGACCUUCAUCCCUAUGGCACUUUCUUCACUAGGACACUCAAAAUGGCACUCUUUGUUUGUAUGCAGCUUCCUUGGUCUUUGCUACCCCAAUACUUAAGUCAGGGGCACAACCUGGAUUGUGGUAGGGGUUUCCUUAAUUUUUAAAUUUGAGCAAUUUCAGGAACUUUCUGAGGCCAUAUGCUGUUGAAAUAAGGAUAUUUGAAAUGAUAAUAAAGGGUUGAUUUAGAGUGAGAGAAAACAUUCACUGUCUUAACAAACACUCAGAAAGGAAAAAGUACAGGUCACAUUCAACAUACAGUAUAAAUCUUGUUUUAUUUUGAUUACACAACCUCAUCUGGAAGAUUGUUAAAAAGUUUCAUUUUCCUUGGGUUCCACCGUGUAACCAUAUACACGACUUCCACUGAAAUGUCUUUGUGGAUGUGAAGGAGGCACUGAAGGACCUCUCAGUGGAGCAGGUGAUGACUGGAAGGUACAGAGGAUGGUCAACAGUGAAGCUCACUGGCCAAGCUGCCAGGUGACGGGAGGUCAUCUUUAUAGAAAUUCACCAAAUCAUCUAUCCUGUUUUUCAACUCUGUUCCAGAUAGGGUCACCAGGAUGCUUGGGAUAAGCAACAUACUCUACUGUACCCUUCAAUACCUUCUGGUGAAGUAAAGAAAACCUAGUUUCAACUCUGAUGAUGUGGUCCAGUUGCGGUAUGGUAAUGGUGCGACAUUAAAACUCAGAUAGUGUGUCUGCAGGGGUGUUGACUCGAUGGUGCUGUUUGCCACAGGAUGGGGCUCCUGCACAUUUGCCUUUGAUAACAUGUGGGUGGUUAGAUUCCGAGAUACCAGGAUUGGUCGAAGUGGACCAGUUGAAUGGCCUCCCAGAUCAUCACACCAAACUCCUUUAAACUUUUUCUUAUGGGGCCAUUUAAAAUCAGUUGUGUACACUGAAGUAUAAAACCGCAUGUUUAUAACUGCUUGACACUCCACGGACUACAAUUUGAACAUUUAAUAAAAUAAACCUAUGA
rnacentral:lncRNA from 1 species